GAUGAACGCUGGCGGCGUGCCUAAUACAUGCAAGUCGAGCGAACGGACGAGCAGCUUGCUUUUCUGAUGUUAGCGGCGGACGGGUGAGUAACACGUGGAUAACCUACCUAUAAGACUGGGAUAACUUCGGGAAACCGGAGCUAAUACCGGAUAAUAUUUUGAACCGCAUGGUUCAAAAGUGAAAGACGGUCUUGCUGUCACUUAUAGAUGGAUCCGCGCUGCAUUAGCUAGUUGGUAAGGUAACGGCUUACCAAGGCAACGAUGCAUAGCCGACCUGAGAGGGUGAUCGGCCACACUGGAACUGAGACACGGUCCAGACUCCUACGGGAGGCAGCAGUAGGGAAUCUUCCGCAAUGGGCGAAAGCCUGACGGAGCAACGCCGCGUGAGUGAUGAAGGUCUUCGGAUCGUAAAACUCUGUUAUUAGGGAAGAACAUAUGUGUAAGUAACUGUGCACAUCUUGACGGUACCUAAUCAGAAAGCCACGGCUAACUACGUG
rnacentral:rRNA from 1 species